rnacentral:rRNA from 1 species
GGGUCAGUAGGUUGGUCGUGCCACCGGUACGUACUGGUCUCACUGGUUCCUCCUUCCUGAAGAACCGUAAUGCCAUUAAUUUGGUGUUGCGGGGAGACAGGACUGUUACUUUGAAAAAAUUAGAGUGUUUAAAGCAAGCUAACGCUUGAAUACAUUAGCAUGGAAUAAUGAAAUAGGACGAUCGAUCCUAUUUUGUUGGUUUCUAGGAUUGACGUA